UUUUUUAUAAAAAUAAUUUAUUUAUUUAAAGUUUUAGUAUUAAUUAAAAAUUAAUUUAUAGAUUUAUAGUUUAAUAGUAUUGUGAAAGAAAUAAUUAAAUUUAAAAAAGAAUUAUUUUAGUACCUUUUGUAUCAGGGUUGAUUAAAAUUUUUAAUUUUUUUUUAAAUUCUCAAAAUUUAUAGAGUUAAUUUUAUUAUUAAUUUAUUGUGUUAUAAAUAUUUAUAAAAUAAUAUUAGUUUUGAAAUUUAAUUCGUUAUAUUAUAUUUAGUUAUUUAAGAUUUAAAUUUAAUUUAAAAUUUUAAAAGUUAUAUUGAUUUUAUUAAUUAAUAUUUUAAAUUUAAAUUAUUUUAGGGAUAAGCUUGAAAUUUUUAUAUAAUAAUUUAUUUAUUUUAAUAAUUUAUAGGAAUAGAAAUUUUUAUUUAAGUUUGUAAAAAUUUAUUAUUUAUUUAAUUUUAAUUUAUUAUAAAUUAUUUAUUUUUUAUAUUAAAUUUUAUUAAUUAAUAUUUAAUUAAUAGUAAUAAUGAUUAAAUUAGUAUAAUUUAAAUUUAUAAAUUAUGAAUUCGGCAAAAAUUAUUUUCAUCUGUUUAACAAAAACAUCGUAUUAAGUUUGAUUUAAUAUAGGAUCUGCUCAAUGAUUUAUUAAAUAGCUGCAGUAUUUUGACUGUGCAAAGGUAGCAUAAUAAUUAGUCUUUUAAUUGAGGACUUGAAUGAAAGAUUUGAUGAGAAAUAAACUUUAUUAUUUAUAAAAUUAAAAUUUUAUUUUUAAGUAAAAAAGCUUAAAUUAUUUAAAGGGACGAUAAGACCCUAUAAAACUUUAUAAAUUUUAGUUUAAAUUUUUUUUGGUUUAUAAAUAUUUUUUUAUUAAAAUUUAUUUUAUUGGGGUGAUAAAAAAAAUUAUUAAACUUUUUUUAAAUUUUAACAUUAUUUAAUGAUUAUUUGAAUUAAAAUUUUUAAUUAAAGGAAAAAGUUACUUUAGGGAUAACAGCGUAAUUAAUUUUUUAAGUUCAAAUUUGAAAAUUAGUUUGCGACCUCGAUGUUGAAUUAAGAUUAAUCUUAGGUGCAAAAUUUUAAGUGUUAGGUCUGUUCGACCUUUAAA
rnacentral:rRNA from 1 species